CCUACGGGAGGCAGCAGUGGGGGAUAUUGCACAAUGGGGGGAACCCUGAUGCAGCGACGCCGCGUGGGUGAAGAAGCGCCUCGGCGCGUAAAGCCCUGUCAGCAGGGAAGAAAAUGACGGUACCUGAAGAAGAAGCCCCGGCUAACUACGUGCCAGCAGCCGCGGUAAUACGUAGGGGGCAAGCGUUAUCCGGAUUUACUGGGUGUAAAGGGCGUGCAGCCGGAGAGACAAGUCAGAUGUGAAAUCCGCAGGCUCAACCUGCGAACUGCAUUUGAAACUGUUUCCCUUGAGUAUCGGAGAGGUCA
rnacentral:rRNA from 1 species